CCUACGGGAGGCAGCAGUGAGGAAUAUUGGUCAAUGGGCGAGAGCCUGAACCAGCCAAGUAGCGUGAGGGAGUACUGCCCUAUGGGUUGUAAACCUCUUUUGUCGGGGAGCAAAAGCCGGACGUGUCCGGCUGUGAGAGUUCCCGAAGAAAAAGCAUCGGCUAACUCCGUGCCAGCAGCCGCGGUAAUACGGAGGAUGCGGGCGUUAUCCGGAUUUAUUGGGGUUAAAGGGGGCGGAGGCGGAUUUGUAAGGCAGCGGUCAAAUCGUGGGGCUCAACCCCAUCCAGCCGUUGAAACUGGGGUUCUUGAGUGUGCGAGAGGUAUGCGGAAUGCGUGGUGUAGCGGUGAAAUGCAUAGAUAUCACGCAGAACCCCGAUUGCGAAGGCAGCAUACCGGUGCACAACUGACGCUCAGGCACGAAAGCGUGGGUAUCGAACAGGAUUAGAUACCCCUGUAGUC
rnacentral:rRNA from 1 species